GACGAAUUGUCCUAACGUUGUUCGGAAUCACUGGGCUUAAAGGGCGCGUAGGCGGUCCGACAAGUCAGGGGUGAAAUCCUGCAGCUUAACUGCAGAAGUGCCUUUGAUACUGUCGGUCUUGAGGGAGAUAGGGGUGUGCGGAACUCACAGUGGAGCGGUGAAAUGCGUUGAUAUUGUGAGGAACGCCGGAGGCGAAAGCGGCGCACUGGAUCUCUUCUGACGCUGAGGCGCGAAAGCUAGGGGAGCAAACGGG
rnacentral:rRNA from 1 species